CCGGCUGGACGCCGCGCUUUUGGUUUGGCUCUGCGCGCUUCGUGUUGGUAGUCGUUGCCGCGUCCGCAGUCGCAGCUGCUUGCGCCCCCGCUCCGGUCAGUGGUGUAACCGGACCAGCACCAUGUCGCUCUCUCGGUCGGAGGAGAUGCAUAGGCUCACGGAAAAUGUCUACAAGACCAUCAUGGAGCAGUUCAACCCCAGCCUGCGGAACUUCAUCGCCAUGGGCAAGAACUACGAGAAGGCGCUGGCAGGUGUGACGUAUGCUGCCAAAGGCUAUUUCGAUGCCCUGGUGAAGAUGGGCGAGCUGGCUAGCGAGAGCCAGGGCUCCAAAGAACUCGGGGACGUUCUCUUCCAGAUGGCCGAAGUCCACAGGCAGAUUCAAAAUCAAUUGGAGGAAAUGCUGAAGUCUUUUCACAACGAGCUGCUAACGCAGCUGGAGCAGAAGGUGGAGCUGGACUCCAGGUACCUGAGCGCUGCGCUGAAGAAAUACCAGACGGAGCAAAGGAGCAAAGGUGAUGCACUGGACAAGUGCCAGGCCGAGCUGAAGAAACUCCGCAAGAAGAGCCAAGGGAGCAAAAACCCCCAGAAGUACUCGGACAAGGAGCUGCAGUACAUCGACGCCAUCGGCAACAAGCAGGGGGAGCUGGAGAGCUACGUGUCCGACGGCUACAAGACUGCUCUCACUGAGGAGAGGAGGAGGUUCUGCUUCCUGGUGGAGAAGCAGUGUGCCGUGGCCAAGAACUCCGCCGCCUACCACUCCAAGGGCAAGGAGCUGCUGGCACAGAAGCUGCCGCUGUGGCAGCAGGCCUGUGCCGACCCCAACAAGAUCCCAGACCGCGCCGUGCAGCUGAUGCAGCAGAUGGCCAGCAGCAAUGGGUCUAUACUCCCCAGCGGCCUGUCGGCCUCCAAGUCCAACCUGGUCAUCUCAGACCCCAUUCCGGGGGCCAAGCCCCUGCCGGUGCCCCCUGAGCUGGCCCCGUUUGUGGGGCGGUUGUCUGCCCAGGAGAACACGCCGGUCAUGAAUGGCGUCUCAGGCCCCGACAACGAGGACUACAACCCCUGGGCUGACCGCAAGGCCGCCCAGCCCAAGUCCACAUCUCCUCCGCAGUCUCAGAGCAAGCUGAGCGACUCCUACUCCAACACGCUUCCUGUGCGCAAGAGCGUGGCCCCCAAGAACAGCUACGCCACCACCGAGAACAAGACCCUGCCCCGCUCGAGCUCCAUGGCAGCUGGUCUGGAGCGCAAUGGCCGCAUGCGGGUGAAGGCCAUUUUCUCCCACGCGGCUGGGGACAACAGCACCCUACUGAGCUUCAAGGAGGGCGACUUCAUCACCCUGCUGGUGCCUGAGGCCCGUGACGGUUGGCACUAUGGCGAGAGCGAGAAGACCAAGAUGCGGGGCUGGUUUCCCUUCUCCUAUACCCGGGUCCUGGACGGCGACGGCGGUGACAGAUUGCACAUGAGCCUGCAGCAGGGGAAGAGCAGCAGCACGGGCAACCUCCUGGACAAGGAAGACCUGGCGCUCCCGCCCCCCGACUACGGCACAUCGUCCCGGGCCUUCCCCGCCCAGACGGCCGGCCCUUUCAAGCAGAGGCCCUACAGCGUGGCCAUGCCUGCCUUCUCCCAGGGUUUGGAUGAUUACGGGGCACGGGCCGUGAGCAGUGCCGAUGUGGAAGUGGCCAGAUUUUGAGCGGCCCCUGACUAGAGUUAGUAAGUUGCCCUGGUUUUCUUAUGCUGGGGUCCGAGGGUCUGCUGAGCCUGCGUCUGCUCUCGGCUCUGGGUCUUUGCCUCCCUGGACCUCUCCUUGGGCUCUCGGAUUUCCUCCCUCUGGAAGCUUGCGGGUCUGUCCUGGCCCUCUGUCUGGGUUUCCUGUUGCUUCUGCUGGGUGCUUUGGCCAUAAUCGGGGUGAAGCCUGGUGAUCAGCUGCGAGGCUGGCUUUGGGCUCCUUCGGCUGAGUGCCCCUCAGACCGGUCCCUGAGCGUGGGUCUGAGCCCGGCCUGGCUGGCUCCUGGGUUGGUGAGUAUCGCAGCCCCUCGAGGGCUGGGGAGACCAGGAUGGGUGUGGGGAUAGCGCCAUGGCCUGUGCCCAGGUGAGAGCCACAGGCACGCGGGACCAGCAGCAUGCAUCUGCCCUGCAGAGGAUGAGCAGAUGCAGUGGCCCCGUUCUGCGCAGGCUCAGCUGCUGUCUGCCCCGACGUGGCUCCAGGGGGCUACUCCAGGCUUCCAGAGCAGGCCCCAGGGGCCUCCUCCAGCUCCCAACUGGUGAUGGUCCCUUCCCCUGUGCCCUUGGAAAGCAAGCGCCAACAGCUGGGGUGGGGCGUGCAGGGGGAGCCCACUGCUCUGGGCUCCUGUGCCUGGGUCUGGGCAGCACUGCUGCCCCUCUGCCCCACCCCAGCCCUGUCACUGAGAAGUCUGCUGCGCGAAGCUGGCACGUGGGCCCUUUACAAAGAUGGUCAUCACUUCACCUCCCUGGGUGUCAUGGAGAUGCCAUCCUCCCUCCCUGUGGGCAGCAGGUCCUGGACUCUCCCUCUCCCUCCUUCACUGCCUUUCUUGGUUUUUUUUUUGGUGUGUGUGUUUGUUUGUUUAGGCCACACUGCGUGGCUUGUGGGAUCUUAGUUCCCUGACCAGGGAUCAAACCCGGGCCCCCAGCAGUGGAAGCGCAGAGCCCUAACCACUGGACUGUCAGGGUUUUUUAUCUAUAUAUAUGUUUGUUUGUUUUUUCCUGCCUUUCUCUUGAUGAGUUGCAGUGUGAGUUCUGGAAAACUCUAGAGACAAGUGCUCCUGAAAUUGGGGGAUGGGAGAAAUGACUUUGACCCUGGCUCAGCAGUGGGUGACCUGGGCCACUCUCCUCCCCUGCAUCUAUCCCUCUUCUUCCGAGAUGCUUUGAGACACCUGCAUCUCCCGCCCCCACCUCUGCUGCCCUCGUGGUCCCUCUGAGCUGGUGGAGCCCAGCUGAUCUCACCCACUGGAGAGCUCACAGCCCUGGGAGGAGGGCCGGGGAGGAGAACGACUCAAGUCCAGAAGGGCCAACGUUCUGAAGUUGUGCCACGUUUUAAGAGGAAAACGUGGAGGAAGUUGAAAUCUAUGCUGUGACUGCUCUUCGCUCCUUCUCUGCCCCGGAGUCACCACAGGACACAAGCCACGCUUCGUGCUGACCAGGCUGUUCUCAGAACCACCCCCUUUCUUAUUCAAGAAGUGGAUUCAGAAGAUAACCGAAGGUGAUUCCACCAAAUCCUCAGUGACGAAUGUUUCAUGAGCCUGGACCCGAAUGCUGCUUGGCUGCAGGGGUCCCACCUCGUCAGGCUGUGGGGGUCUGCAGAGGACUGGGUGGUGGGGACAGCCAUUCCUGGCGGGGGGCCUGGCUCAUGCCUCCCUUCACCAUGCCCGGGACUUCAGGCCUGCCCCCCGGAGGAUACAAAUCCAUUCCGUAUAAAAGCUACCGGCUGUCCCUGUGUCCCUGCUCAGGAGGGGGACAGAGCCCAGCCACCAGUCGGGCACCUGAGUGCCUGGUGGCCCUGCCUGGGGAGGGGCCCUGGCAUCCUGACAGCACUGGCUCUCGCAUACUCCAGCGUCUCCCAUUUGGGUCAAGAAGAGCUUGUUCUGUGUCUGGGUGGUCGUCUGUUGAUUGGCCCCGGCGUCCACCCCUGGGCAGUGACGGACGUCUGCAGGACAGCAGGAUCAGCAGUGCCUCAGGUCCAAAUCUUGUCAUGUUUUGUCAUCCCAGUGUUGACCCAAGUCCCUCACCUGGGGUCACUCAGGUGCCCUCCCCGGGGGUAGCUCUUAAGCCUGUUCUUUCACAGAACAUCCCAGAAGGUGGUGAGCACCCAAGGGGGCCUCACACUUCCUCUGAUGCUGAAGGGUGGGAGUGUCCCACCCAGGGGUCUCUGGCCGGGGCUGCAGGAGGGAGUCGCUCCAGAGGUCUGGAGUGGUUACAGCUGCCACCUCCUUCCUCAGAACCUGCAGUGUGGACAGCACAUGCUUCUUCCAUGGUCACACUGUUUUGGGGGACGGUGUGGGUCAGAGGCCAGACACCCUCUUCAGGGAGGUCUUCCUGGUUCAGGUGGUAGUGUGGGUUUGCCACUGACCCUUUUUUUUUAAUUGAAGUAUAGUUGAUUUACAAUGUUGUGUUAAUUUCUGCCAUAUAGCAAAGUGAUUCAGUUAUACCCAUAUAUAUUCUUUUUUAUAUUCUUUUCCAUUAUGGUUUAUCACAGGAUACACUGAAUGUAAUUUCCUGUGCUAUACGGUAGGACCUUGUUUACCCAUUCUAUAUAUAAUAGUUUUCAUUUGCUAAUCCCAAACUCCCAAUUCACCCCUCCCCACCCCUCUUCCUCCUUGGCAACCACAAGUCUGUUUUCUAUGUCUGUGAGUCUGUUUUGUAGAUAAGUUCAUUUGUAUAAUUUUUUUAGAUUUUAUAUAUGUGAUAUCAUGUGCUAUUAGUCAUUCUUCACUUAGUAUGAGAAUCUCUAGGUCUAUUCAUGUUGCUGCAAAUGGCAUUAUUUCAUUCUUUUUUAUGGCUAAUAUUCCAUUGUGUAUAUACCACAUCUUUAUUCAUUUAUCUGUCAGUGGACAUUUAGGUUGUUUCCAUGUCUUGGCUAGUGUGAAUAGUGCUGCUGUGAACAUAGGGGUGCAUGGAUCUUUUUGAAUUAGUUUCAUCUGGAUCACAUGGCAACUCUAGUUUUGGGGGGAACCUCCAGACUCUUUUCCAUAGUGCCUGCACCAAUCUCCCACCAACAGUGUAGGGAGGUUCCCUUUUCUCCACACCCUCUCCAGCAUUUGUAAUUUGUAGACUUCUUAAUGAUGGCCAUUCUGACCAGUGUGAGGUGGUACCUCAUUGUAGUCUUGAUUUGCAUUUCUCUAAUAAUUAGCAAUGUUGAGCAUCUUUUCAUAUGCAUGUUGGCCAUCUGUAUGUCUUCUUUGGACAAAUGUCUAGUUAGGUCUUCUGCCCAUUUUUCGAUUGGGUUGUUUGGUUUUUUGUUGUUGAGAGGUAUGAGCUGUUUGUAUAUUUUGGAAAUUAAGUCCUUGUCAGUUGCUUCAUUUGCAAAUAUUUUCUCCCAAUCUGUAGGCCGUCUUUUUGUUUGUUUACGGUUUCCUUUGCUGUGCAAAAGCUUGUAAGUUUGAUUAGGUCCCAUUUGUUUAUUUUUGCUUUUGUUUUUAUUGCCUUGGGAGACUGACCUAAGAAAACACUGGUACGAUUUACGUCAGAGAAUGUUUUGCCUAUGUUUUCUUCUAGGAGUUUUAUGGUGUCAUGUCUUAUAUUUAAGUCUAUAAGCCAUUUUGAGUUUAUUUUUGUAUAUGGUUUGAGGGUGUGUUGUAACUUCGUUGAUUUACACGUGGCUGGUCACUGACCCUUUCUGAUGAGAAUGUAGGUGCGUCAGGACACACCCGGCUGGAACUCCCUUUUGCCCCUGGCUCUGGUCAGCACAGGUGCCAUCCUCCCUUCUCUGGGUCCCUUCCCCUGCUGGGUCCCCGACUCUGGAUGGACAAACCUGCCCCGUUUCCAGCCCCACAAGACCCCCCGCCAUGACCCUGGCUGCAGACCGCCAAGGGCAUGGAGCCCUCCUCUAGGACAAGAGUCCAGUCAAGGCGGCCGCCCCCGUGGCUGCCCUGCAUCCUCCGUCCCAGGGCAGAUGACGCUGGUCACAGCAGAACCUCGGUUUCAGAACCUCCAGGCUGCCCCUGCCUGGGGCCAGUGGGGCUGAAGCACAUCUGCUCAGACCCAAGCCUGGGAGGCCAGAGAGGACCUGAAUGAGGGAGACUGAGGCCCCGCCGGCUGGAAGGGCCUUUCAUCAGGUGCAGAUGUUCCGAGGCAGGGGUGGAACGGCUGCGGGUGCUGCCAACUGUCAGGCAGCAUCUUGGAGAUGCAGAUCAGUCUCCUCUCACUAGUUCAUCCUUUGGACUCAGUUGUUCAAAGUGCCUCAGUGUUUUAGAAAAUGCCAGGUCCUCAGGCAAACACAGGGUUGCCCACCCCACGUUCUAUCUUCCUGGGCACCUGGACAGAGCGCCCACCCAGCUCCUGUGGACGCCCAGCCAUGUCAGAGGCCACUCCCGCCCCAGGUAACGGCUCCCGUUCAGGCCGAGCCCUCCGUGUCCCACGUGCCAUCCGUGCUGUCACCCUUGGGACUGCCUGACGUCCCCUGGCCUGCUCUCCUGUGCCAUCUCCACCUGGGCAGGUCCUCGGAGCCCGCCGAGGAGGAGAGGCCUCCGUGAGCACGAGGCCAGGUGCCAGCCCCACCCUGCACUCAUCUCGUUCCAUCUCAGCCCCUUGUCUGGUGCGUCUGUCUGUCUGUCAGCCGCAGCCUCGGCACGCAGGGGCAGGCACGGCUCCUCUCUGAGGAGGCGGCCAGCCCCUCCGCAGGGGCUGCGGGCGUCCACUCCUACCAGCCCCGUUGUCGCUGGGGUGCCUGCGCCUCGUGUCUGUCAUGUCGGCAUGGGACGGGCCACUCUCUGGGCCCCCAGGAUGCAUGGGCUGGGCUUGUGCGCUCUGCUGAGCUGUGGCUCUAUGUGUCAACAGCUGUGUCCUUGCAGAUGGGCUCAGCUGCUGCUCCCGGGCAGGUGGCGGGGGCGCUUGGCCUUGGGGGGCGGCGCACCGAGCUCGGGUGCGGCUCAUGUGGGGCUGCCUCAGGUUGCAGAGAAAGGACCAGGGCUGAUGUGGAGGGGCCCCCCCAUGCCCACCCACCCUGCCUGUGGGAGGGUUGACGGUUUGAGGUGGGGCACCUGGGGGGGGUGAGCAGAGGGUGGCGCGCUGGGGCUCAGCUGGCCUUGCGGACAGCGCCCCUUUCUGGCUCUCCCCCGUGGCCUCUGCCACCCCCAGGCCCUGAGCUCAGAGGCUGGGCCAUCGGGGUCCAGGUGGGUGCCGUCUGUAGCCACAGGGCGGCACUCAGCACCCCUCCCGAAAACCACUCUUCUCUCCUCUUCUCAGGAAUCCCUUCGCCAGCGUCCAGCUGAAGCCGACGGUGACCAAUGACAGGUCUGCCCCACUCCUCAGCUGACGGCCACAUCUGCACCCACUGCCUGUGGGGGCUCCUCCUCCCACACCCUGACCUGUAACCUGUUUUGUUACAAUCUGCUUGCUCCCCAUUUAGAGAAUUGUCUCCUUCCAAGCCCUUCUGCCCCCACCUCAAUCUGGCCUGGGCUGGACCCCGGCUGUUCCUACAGGGUCAGGAGGUGGCAUGGCCGUGGCCAAGGAGAGUGAGGGGAGCAGGGACCUGCUGCCUGGGCUGGGCGGCCAACCUUUUGAAUCAGGCCCAUCUGUCGUGUGGGCCAGGGAGCCCCCAAGGUGCAGGGAGGGCCAUCGCAUCAGCUUGUAGCUGUAAGGGGAGCCCCUGUCUGGUCAGUAAUGAGGCCGCCCACCUGUAGUAGUGCCUGCGGCAGCAAUGCAGGGGCAAGGGGAGGGAGGGGAGGGGAAGGGGAGAGCGAGGGCCGGCCUCCCUUCCUUGGAUUUAGUAUGAGCACAACUUCCUGCCAGACCCCUGAUUGGGGCUUUGCUGGGUCUCCCCCCUGCCACUGGCAGUUUUGUGGGCCUCUCUGUCCCAGUUUCUCCCUGCCCACACCCUAACUCCCAUCCAGAACUGGCUGCAGGGCCCCCAGCUCUCCUCCCUGUCCCCAGGGUGGUCGGUGCUGUGGCCUGGCUCCCCAGGCUGUGUGCCAUUGAGGGGGGCCUACCCCAGGAUUCCUGGGUAGGCCCCCUCAAUGCUCUGGCUGUUUCCAUAUUUCAGCUGAAAUAUAAGAUUUUAGAAGCUAUCGGAUCCAUGCUGUUUGACAUUUAAGGCUGAAAUACAGCCGUGCUAAUAACCACGUUGGUGACAGCAGUCCUUACCUCAGGAGACGUUCAGUUCCGGGCAGCGUUCGCUUGCUCCUCCCAGACCCUCCCAGGAGGGGCUCUGCGCACAGCCCAGAACACGAAGCACAGGGGGUGGGGCCCCAGAGGCUCUCACCUUGCAGAAGCUGGAGGCAGGCCAGGUGAGGUGAGGCAGGGUCACAGGGCAGAUGUUUGCGGUGGAGGGGCACAGAAGCCCCACCUCCUCACAACCCACCUUGCUCCCAGCUCACCGCCCCCUCACCCGGCCUCCCCGUGCUGAGGGACAGGGGCCACCCCUGGAGAGGCAGGAGGAAGAGCUUCCCGGAGAGGUUCCCUCUCACCCUUACCUAGGUAGGGCCAGCUUCCAGGCAGGAAGUGAGGGCUGCAGGCGUCAGUCCGCUGGCCCUGUUCUGGGAAGACACCCCAACCUGGGCACCCUAGGGGCCCAAGGUCACUGUGUCCCUCCACCAAGGUGUGCCAAGGACAGCUAGAGGAAGGGGUGGUCUCCCUCCUGCAUCCCCCAGUGGUCAGAAGGGACUGUAGGGACCCCACCCCAGCACAGCCCAUGCCCCCUCCUGCCCAAGGCUUUAUCUGCAGACUCCAAAAGAAAACACGCUUAGCAUGAAGGCUUUUUUCCUUAGUUUUGAUU